AUUUAUAUAGUAUAAAAUAGUAUAUUUGACUUCCAAUCAUAAGGUUUAAAAUAUUUAAUAUAAAUA
rnacentral:tRNA from 1 species